CUCUCCAGUUCAAGUCAGCUGAGCUACCUCAAAAGGCGGUGAGUGCAAAGGAGGUCUGGGCGUCAGGGGAAGCUCUGCCACAUUCCAGACUUUGAAUUGAGUGUUUCCGGUCCUCCCGCAGGCCUCAUUAGCUUCCUCUCCCCUCGCCACCCACCACGGCCCCCCACAGCCACGGAGGAGGAACGGGGAGUGGGAGGACUGGGGACGGUCCCUGUCCCUAGGGCACCACCCACGCCUCUGUGAUUCCUAAUGAGCCCACCCCUGGGGCUCAGACACAGGCUCUGGGAAGGAAACUGGCUUCAUAGAGGGGAGCCCUGGCCGACAGAGAACACAGGCCGAAGCCCCUCGAGCAGGCACCUCCCUGGUAAGCAGGCCCCCGGCUGUGCCUCUACUGUGGAAAGAGACAGAGACGGCGACCAAAGUCUUGAGUCGCUACAUGAAGAGCCUGACCACCGCCAACCCUAAGCUAAAUGCUGAAGCCGCAUCUUUGGACGGUGCCCGUGGGCCAGGCGGCAGCUUCGGCUUGCUCUGCGGGGACCCCGAGGAAGAGAGGCGUGGCUGCGUACGGAAACACAACACGACAACGGACAAAACAACCCGCUGGUCGGUGCGCAUCCCAGGG
rnacentral:lncRNA from 1 species